UCAACGUCUAUCCCUACCAUUAUGCCCAUUUUUAGAAGGAGGAGAUUGAGAAACAAGUGUUUGAUAUACUUAAUUUCAGUCUCAUUUGACCAAGCACUAGCCCAUUUUCAUAUCUGAUUUUGCUCGUCUGAAAGAAAGAUGACACAUGACACUUUGUACUUAUUACCAGCUCUCAAUGCAGUCAUCAUCAAAGACUAGUUUCCCAUUUUGACUAUAGAGACAUGUUGAAUGAAUUAUAUGACACCGCAUAUUUCACCAAGCUCGACUUAAUAGCUGAGUAUCGUCAGAUCAGAGUACACCCAACAAACAUCCAUAAAAUGGCCUCUUGGACACAUAAUGGUCACUAUGAUUACCUGGCUCAAGAACAAAGAAGGCAAAUGAGGCAAGAAGGUUCUAUGCAAGGAGCUUUCCAAGCCAAAAUGAAAACCAGAAAGGUGACAAAGGCAAGAAGAAGAACAAGAAACUAACAAAGGUGAUGGCAGCAGCAACAACAAGAAAACUGAAAAUUUUCCUCCUUGCUAAUACUGUAAGAAGAUAAAUCACUUACAAAAAAAUUAAUGGUGGAGAUCUGAUGUGAGAUGCAAGAGGUGCAAUCAGUUGGCACAUGUGGAGAAGAUCUACAAGAAAGGGGCUCACUAACAAGAAGAAGCACAGGUUGCUGAUCAACAAUAGGAGGAACAAUUGUUUGCUACUUGCUUUGUCAGUAAACAUGUUAGUGAUUGCUGGUUCAUUGAUAGUGGUUAUACAAAUCACAAAACUAAUAAUAGAAGUUUGUUCAAGUAAUUUGAAAAAUCAAGCAUCUCCGAAAUCAGAAUUGGCAAUGGAUAAAAUAUUCCAGUUGAAGGUAAGGGCAUGGUUGCCAUUGAAGGAAAUUCAGGUACAAAAUUAAUUUCAGAUGUUCUAUUGUAUCUGAAAUUGAUCAAAAUCUACUGAGUGUUGGGCAGCUUCUUGAACGAGAAUACUCUGUAAUUUUUAAAGACAAAUGAUGCUUAAUUUUUUAUCACACUGA